rnacentral:rRNA from 1 species
CUUAGUAAUGAAGUCCGUGAGCUGUGCGUCAAGAAAAGCCGCUAUUGUUCAUACCAUACCCGUACCGUAAACCGACACAGGUGGAUGAGGAGAGAAUCCUAAGGCCGGCGGAAGAAGCAUUGUCAAGGAACUCGGCAAAAUGACCCCGUAACUUCGGGAGAAGGGGUGCCACUGAGAAGUGGCCGCAGAGAAUAGGCUCAAGCAACUGUUUAGCAAAAACACAGGUCUAUGCGAAACCGUAAGGUGAGGUAUAUGGGCUGACGCCUGCCCGGUGCUGGAAGGUUAAGAGGAGAGGUUAGCGGAAACGCGAAGCUUUGAAUUUAAGCCCCAGUAAACGGCGGCCGUAACAAUAACGGUCCUAAGGUAGCGAAAUUCCUUGUCGGGUAAGUUCCGACCCGCACGAAAGGCGUAAUGAUUUGAGCGCUGUCUCGACAAUGCAUCCGGUGAAAUUGAAGUACCAGUGAAGAUGCUGGUUACCUGCGCCAGGACGGAAAGACCCCAUGGAGCUUUACUCCAGUUUGGUACUGGGAUCCGGUACUGCAUGUACAGGAUAGGUGGGAGGCUGAGAAAUGGUAACGCCAGUUGCCAUGGAGCCGCUGUUGGGAUACCACCCUUGCAGUAUUGGGUUUCUAACCAGCCGCCGUGACCCGGCGGUGGGACAAUGCCAGACGGGGAGUUUGACUGGGGCGGUCGCCUCCGAAAGGGUAUCGGAGGCGCCCAAAGGUUCCCUCAGGAUGGACGGAAACCAUCCAAAGAGUGCAAAGGCAGAAGGGAGCUUGACUGCGACACCGACGGGUGGAGCAGGUACGAAAGUAGGGCUUAGUGAUCCGGUGGUAUUAAGUGGGAAUGCCAUCGCUCAACGGAUAAAAGCUACCCUGGGAUAACAGGCUUAUCACUCCCAAGAGUUCACAUCGACGGAGUGGUUUGGCACCUCGAUGUCGGCUCAUCGCAUCCUGGGGCUGUAGUAGGUCCCAAGGGUUGGGCUGUUCGCCCAUUAAAGCGGUACGCGAGCUGGGUUCAGAACGUCGUGAGACAGUUCGGUCCCUAUCCGGCGUGGGCGUAGGAUAUCUGAGAGGAGCUGUCCUUAGUACGAGAGGACCGGGAUGGACGGGCCGCUGGUGCACCGGUUAGACUGCCAAGUCUAUAGCCGGGUAGCCAAGCCCGGAAGGGAUAAACGCUGAAGGCAUCUAAGCGUGAAGCCCCCCUCAAGAUGAGAUAUCCCAUCCGAAAGGAGUAAACCCCCUUGAAGACGACGAGGUUGAUAGGGCAGGGGUGGAAGUGUGGUAACACAUGGAGCUGACUGCUACUAAU